rfam:Brachypodium distachyon strain Bd21 chromosome 3, whole genome shotgun sequence.
UGUAUACUUCCUCCGUCCAGGAUGUCUCUACUUUAACUAAAUUUGAAUGCAUCUAUACACUAAGUCAUGUCUAGAUACAUCCAAAUUUUGACAAGCUUGAGACAUCUUUUGUUGGACGGAGGGAGUAGAUA